AUAGUACAUACAAAAAUGGGAAUUCUGUCAUUAAUAACUCCUCCUAGUGUUGUUCCAAACCCAUGAGACCUUUGUUCACCUUCAGAACACAGAUUAAGAUAUUUUUGAUUAAAAUCCAAGAGCUUUCUGACCCUCCAUAGACAACAAUGUAACUCAAAUGUUCCCAGACCCAGAAACGAAGUAAGAACAUUGUUAAAAUAGUCAAUGUGACAUCAGUGGUUCAACAGUACACUGUCAGAAAAAAAGGUACUGUGGAGGUACAAUUUUGUUCCUAGGGGAACAAAAAAUAUAAUGGUACCUUUAAAGGUACACAGUAGGUCCUUAAGGGUACAAUUAUGGUCCCAAAAUGAGUUAUAAAGGUACAACUUUUGAGAUACAGAUGUGAAAGGUACAUUUUUGUACCUUGGAAUUACUUAUUAUUUUUAUAUAUAUAUAUAUUUAUUUUAAGUUUAGCCCCAAUUAGAGUAGGCCUAUGUGGUUUUUUUGUUUUGUUUGUUUUAUUACUUUAAUGUGCCUCAACUCAUGAUAACAUCAAUACAUAUUACAUUUCUUUAAAUGUAAAAAAUACAUUUUCAAACAGUGUACUUGUCCCCUACCUGUAAAAUGAGACAGAUAUAAUAAAAAAAACCCAUAAAGCUAAUGAAAUUAUUAAAUUAAAUCUUUUGAAUAACUGUUAAGGUUUUUUGUUGUUAUUGUUGUAAUAUUAUAGUAGUCAGAAAAGCUUUUUUUAUUAAAUGUAUUUUUAUUAAUUUAAAACUUUUACAUUUUGACCUUUGAAUUAUUACAUUUUUAAAUCGGUGAAUGACAUUUGGAAUAAGGACAAUGCGGAAUGUCAAGAUUUAAUUAUACUCAAGUAAUUAUAUUCAAAACCUGCUUAUGCAGACGUUACCGUUGAUGUCGCUUUAAGAAAAUUUCCCUCGCUUGGCUCGAGUCGUUCAGUUUAGGCGAUUGAUGCGGACGUGCUCUGACGGAACCUCGCACGGUUUUCAACGCGGAGUCUGUUUUGGAGUUAAUAUUUCUCAGGUAAAUGUGGAAUAAUGUUAUAUAAUCUUAUUUAUACACGUGGGACGCCAUGUUCGGUUAAUUUUGUUGAACUUGAUGUUCCCCUGCUCUAGCCCGCUAAAAAUGCUUGAGUCAGACUGGCUGGUGUAAGUUAAGGUUCGUUGGCCUGCAGGAUGGAGCUGACUAGAAUGUCUACAGCUAAAUUAAUAAAGGAGUUAAUACAAUUUGGUAUCGAAGUCACUGAAGAGGAGAGGAAAAAGUUUGAAGACAAUGAUGUGGAUGGAGGGACUGUUGACAUCGGACUGACUGAGUCAAUGAUUUCAUUCCUCUUUGAGGGAUCAUUUAAAAAAACAAGCAAAAUUUCAUCGAUUUGUUCAGCAGAUGAAGGAGACAGUGACAUUGAAUCUUGAACCUGUGCCUGUAGAAAGCCAGUCAAGAGCUGGAGCAAGUCAUAUCAGCCCAUCAACAGCUUUUCCUGCUUUUUUUUGAAGUUCCGAAGUUUCCAUUUGAUGUUCAGGCCAAGUUGGACCGAAAAGAAUGCAGACUAUCGUCAUCAGACCGAAACAAAAUUAUUAGAACGUUGUAUGAAAUCAUGGCUCAGUACAAAAUGUAUCCAACUACAGAAGAGUAUGUUCAAGUGGCUAAGGCCCUGACUCUGAGGUAUCCCUUUUUAAAAGACAAAGAGGGCAAUGGAUAUCACACUUGGCACAUGUCUCUGAAACGCAAGUUUAAAUUUGAGCGGACACCUUUGGCUGAAGUUGAAGAAGUGAAAAGACUUAAACAGAAGUUUGGUCAUUCAAAAAAAGUCUCUGCAACCUGAAGAAAGCAGUUGCAAAGAAAUUACAAGGCCUUUGGAGAUUAAUGCUGUUGGAGAGGAUGCUACAUCAAUAGAGGGACAUGUGAAAGUCCUGCAGGACCAAUAUAGAAGGACACAGCCAGAGACUCACAUUGUUGAAGAUCGAAUGAGGAGGACCUUUGCCUGGAGGCGGCAGGAGAUUACUAGUGGUAUGACUGUUGAAGAUGUCGUCAACAAAUAUCCAUUCUUGAAGAGUCCAUCAGGGCUUUAUCAAGAAAUUGGUUUCCUGUAUAAAUGUGUUCAACUGAGCCGCCAUUUUCGAGAACAUUUUGGACACAUUACAUCCAGCGUGCUACGGCGUGCUCAAGGGAAAUCCCCUCUAGCAAAGCUGCACAAAGAAGCUAGAGAAGAAUCUCCCUUUGAAGACCAUAUUGGAAUUGAUUUUAAAGCAGCACUUCUCAUGUUGCCAGCCUUGUUCAGAGAGAAACUUGAACAUUUCAUUGUGCUUGGAGAGAGUGAACCAUCCUCACCAUAUCCUACUGUUCAAGUACAGGAGACCACUGACUGGAAAACUGUGUUUACAAGAAGAGUCACUGCAGUCAUCAAAGUUGAUGGGAUCGAAAUCUGCCAGGCAAAUCUUUGCGUUCUUUAUGGUGUUUAAGAUUUGAAGGAAAACAUCAAUAUUUUAAACAGGUUGCCAGCACGUGUUGACAUUUUGUUAACAUUUCAUCCACUUUAAGUAAUCGACAUCAACACAGACAAUGUUGGGAAUUGUCUUCUGUUAAUAUGUUGGGGGAAUAUGAGAGAGUUGCUGGAUGUUUUGUGAGCACACCAUUUCGAACUUUGCCUGUGGCUCUACAGCAUUCAGUGAAAGCAAAUAAGAAGUAUAGCCAUGUCAAUUUUGAAGGCAAACAACUUCAAACAACGAGUAACAGAAGUAGUGCUUAAUGAUGUCAAAUACUGUGUUAAAGAUGUGUUUACUGUGGGUCAUCUGCAUGCAGAAGCUGUUCCAUUGUUUUUUCAGAUUAAGAACAUUCUUAACAUAGACACAGACUGGUUAUUGUGUGGCAAGCUUUUAAUUCCGGUUUCUUUUUGUUGUCAUUUUUAUUCAUACUGUGUGAAAUGUGAGAAUGAAUGGACUAUCCUCUUGCCAGGUGAAGAGGUUGAUUACAAGGCAUUAGACACGUACCACGUUGAUGACAAGUUAUUUAUUAGCACUAGAUACACUUGCUGAAGACAAACUGCUGCAAACGUCAAAAUGUGCAGUACUUGAUGUAGCCUGUGUAAUAAGGCUGUUUUACUUGUUUGAGUUUUUCUGAGUUUUUUAUUGAAUAGCUAGUUUUUUCUUGACAUGCUUGCUGUUGUGAGAUGUAAUGAAAUCUUUUUAAAAGAACAUUUCUAAAUAAAAUUGUCUAUUUGUUAGCCAAGGUAUUUAUUUAUUUAUGCAUGCACACAGACACCAAAAUGGUU